GAAAUAGAGGUGAUGUCACAGAAUGUUGACUUUACAACAAGAUCCGGUUUGAAGGGAAAGCUGGGAGAAGGAGGAACAAACUGAGUUUAAAAGUGCUUUCAGACGGCUCUCACACCUUCCAGCUGAUGUUCUCAAAGAGCUUGGCCACUCACAAAGGAAAGAUUCUUGGAUGACAGAUGCUCAGGGCAUGGGAGGUUACAGGAUGAUGUGAAAAAAUUGGAGAGAGUCUAGAGGACAGCAACAAAAAUGCCCUGCUGUGUUCUGCACCAGAAAUGGCCACAUUUUAAUCGUGAGAGAAGCAAUUCUUCUCAAGAGAAGACUUGAUCCUGCAGCCCUUCAUCAGUGGAGCUGCCCUCACAUGCCAAGUUCUACUGAAUUUAAUAGAACCAUUGCCAUAAGGAAUAUCCACGUACUCUGCAAGGAAGAACCCACAAUGGGAAGGAAACAAUGCGUCUCCCACACCACUGCUAGCUUUUCCUCUGCCUGCACCUGUGGGAGCCCUCACCAGACAAGCAUCCUGACCCUGGAGGCUCUAGGCAGGUCCUGGGCUUCACUUGCUAGGAAUGUGGCCUGCAUGUCUCUGCUGAAGAAAGCCAGGGAGGAGGAACCACCCAAUGUGAGAGGUGUCUGUUGAUGAUGUCCUUCGGGAAGCAGUGUAAGUCUGUAGCCACAAGCAAGCAUUAAUAAAUAACUAAGGACCACAGCAAGACGUUAGUUUUACUUGCAUUGGAGCAGUGUCUAGAAGCCUAAAUUAGAAGUCCAGGAUUUUACCUGGAGGAAGUUGUGCAAGUCAAGCAAAAUAGUAGAUUUAUUUAUGGGCUUAUGAAGAGUUUUCCAGUGGUAGUCUGACUGAGACUGGAGACCCAACUGCAGUGAAAUGCAGGUGAUUCAGAUUUCCAGUUUAAGAUCUUUCUUUUUCAGCCUCAUUAACGAUGCCCUCUGAAAAUGGAGUCAUUCAAACUACAUGGCUAUUUCAGUAUCCCAGUGCUUCAGGAGUAGAGCAGCCACUUCAUUCAGCACAUCUAAAGCUGAUCUAAACCAUCAACUUGUCAUGGCUUCUGGAACAAUUUCAUUGCCCUAUUGUUGUCCUUUUGUCUAACUUAAGUCAAGUGGAAAAAAAAAUAAAACCAACAUCAUCCCUUUCAAAAUCACUGCAGCAAUAAAACAAUGUUAGU